UACGAAGGGGGCUAGCGUUGCUCGGAUUUACUGGGCGUAAAGGGCGCGUAGGCGGACAGUUAAGUCGGGGGUGAAAGCCCGGGGCUCAACCUCGGAAUUGCCUUCGAUACUGGCUGUCUUGAGUGUGAGAGAGGUGUGUGGACCUCCGAGUGUAGAGGUGAAAUUCGUAGAUAUUCGGAAGAACACCAGUGGCGAAGGCGACACACUGGCUCACUACUGACGCUGAGGCGCGAAAGCGUGGGGAGCAAACAGG
rnacentral:rRNA from 1 species